UUUCAGUUAAUACGUCGAGAGUCGAUGUAUUAACGGAGGAAGAUAAAGAGGAAGAAAAAGAAGAAGAGGAAAAAAUUCCAGUCUUCACGCCAAUAAGAAUA